GCUCGAGCUUCGCUGCGCGAGGGGGAAAUCAUGAUACUAACAUGAUGCUAAGUGGCACUAUAGAGGUUGUUGGGGACAUUAAAAGUCAUCCCGCCGAACAGGAAAAAACUUUGCAGAUAAACUCGGGGCUCUACACUGCGACCAUUUCACUCGCAUUUGCGACUGAAAAGUGACUGUGAAUAAAUAUUUAUUCGCACCAGUGCGAGUGACCUGUUCGGAGUUGUAUAUACAAUCGGAAUAAAAACUACAGGAAGUGCAAAAUGCAUCUACACCGCGCAACAGUUACUUUCACACUGCUUUUCAUCUCCUCAGUCAACCGAAGAAGUGUGUAAAUACUGCAGAGAAGCCAUUAUGAUGAAAAGUAACACUGAACAUCAUGUGUCUCUCAACUUGCCGAUAUCACCAACCGCCAUCUUUUAUUGAUCCCGCAAAAUGACCUGAACCUGCGACUGUGACCUGCUCGUGUAAACACAGCGGCGUCGGGCGGAGUAAAUGAAUAAUAAUGCUAACGCUACAAGACAGCUAUAAAGAGGGCAGGACCGGGUCAGACCUCCAGUCAGACGUGGAAGUGUCUGGGAAAAGACCACCAAGGAGGAGUGUCCGGACCCCCUGGAGAUAAGGAGCAUUGAUUGUUUGACUCAGAGGAUGUGUGACACACCACCCAAACACAUUCUUCCACCUGCCCCCACUGUUAACUUCCCCACAGUCACCCCAAACACCAUUUUCAUCCCUGUUCCCACCACCACUUUACCACCAGCAGCAGCACAUGGCUCAUUCAUAGAGAUGCUGCAGAACUGGCAGCCGAUGGACGAUAUGCCAUGUGAGUGUAUUUUUCUGCUUUCUGAUUGACUUUCUUUUGUAGGUAUUAAAUUUGUAGAACAUUUUUCCUCACUUCCCUUAACACAGUGUUCUCUUGUUGUGCUGACGGGUUGUUAGACUUUAUGAGGGGGCUCCCAGUAAUCAUCAGAACCAGGUCGGGCCAACUGUGAUUUCUGCUCAGCCAUCUUACUGGUAUUUGUAUAGGUUAGGAAUGAGACUAAGGAUGGAGUUGUAUAGUUUUGUAGUGUGUAUCAUUUUUAAAUAUUGUUAACUUCUUUAUCAUAGCCUUGCUGAGGGUGGUGUUAAAUUAGUGACUAAAUUAGUGAUGGUGCUGGACCAACAAACCACUGAGAUCGCUUCAACUGCAGGAAGUCCAGGUGCAGCCUUUGGAUAUUGAUGAAGAAUUACUGCCCUUGCAAGACCUUCCUCAACUGUGUAGACUGGAGCAAAUGAUGCAACAGAGCCCAGAUUACAAGCAAAAACUGGUGAGAAUUUUUUUUUUCUUUCUUUAACAAUUGCUUGCACAAUUACACAUAUACUGAGAGUGUUACUUUUUUUCUCAAAAUGAGACACUCAUACUCAAAGCACAACAUUCAACACCACUUUGAUAUGAGGGAACAGUUAUGACCUAAUCUUUAUCAGGAACCAAGCAACCAUAAAGUCAGAUUUUUAAUUUCAUUGCAUUAUUUACAACUUGAUAUUAUGGAGUCGAGUGUAAUGUAAAAUCAAAUGACAGCUUUAACUUUAAUUGCGGAAAGACCAUGGUAAAACUAGGAUAAGCCAUGGCUAGGUGUGCAUUAAACGAUUUGAACGAGUGGUUCUUUGCCUCCACAUCAUGCAUUAAAAUCGUUUAAUGCACACCUAGCCGUGGAUUACUCCUUACAUAUCAUCUGAGAGAGACAGAUAACUCUGUAUGUAAACAGAUAUACUUACCAAUUACGACCUCUGCGAGUUGGAGAGUGACCAGUGAAGUCUUUACAUUGACUCCCCUCCAAUGGAGGUUCUUUGCCAAUGAGUUGGCAAUCACCCUCUUCAAUAUGUGCCAGGUGCAGUCGCGCACAUGUGCCCCGUCAAUAAGCGCCAACCAGUUUACCUGAAACCGAUUUUUAAAAAACAAUAAUAUAAUAUAAAAAUUAAUAAGCAUGUAUUUCCUCAUCACCUAUGUCAGUGCUUCUCACUACGCCUGCAGUUACCCUGCCCUGUGUUUUCCAUGUUUUCCUCCUCUACCAAAGAUAAGGUUCCUUUAUACAAUGUCUUGGCCUCCCCUAGAUAGUUCUAAACACUAGUUUUAAUUUUCACCUUUGUACCCCUUAAAAUGGAUUAGUAGUUAAAAACUUUUUAUUCUUGUCUUACCUUGAGAUGAGCCUCCUAGGGAAGAGUCAACAUCUGUGAACGGAAAAAUAAAAUACUAUAACAAGCAGUAGUUGUGCUUGGUCUACAUGAAAUGAAUCAAACCUCAAUGGACAUGCUGGUAGACUGAGGUUGAUGCUCAUACCAUCUGGGGUGCCUAGAGGUUCCUCAACAGGUCGCCUAGCUCUGUUCAUUCCUGUGGUAUGAAUAGUAUAGCUCAAUAUAAAGUUUCUGGUGUCACAUGUUCAUACACAAACUGUUCUACACCUUUAAGGUGAAACUGUAAAUCUCUAGCAAGAUAUCCUCCACAUCCCAAACAAAAACAGUUAAAACUGAAAGGUCUAAUUUUGUUGGGUAGUGAUUUGGUUGAUGCUUUACUUUGUGAAAUUUGUUGUCAAGGUACAGUAUAAGUCAGCUUAUUUUUGUGGUAUGUCUAUGACAAGUGCAAUAAGCAGAUGAACCUCAGCCUAUUAACAGUCAAGAUACUUUAAAUUUACUUGGCACAUAUUGACCAUAUUACUAAGUUUAACAAUGACCAUAUUGCUUCAGUAACAGGUGUGUAUAUCUGAACUAUUGUAUAAUACUUUUGUACAUCAUAUGGUACACUCAUGUUGACUUUAAUGAAUUGAUGAUUGUAUGUUUGUGCUUUUACCCAUUUCUGUUGGUGUCUGUGGAUAUGUCUCCUCAUCAUCAGUGUCUUCACUUUGCUCAGAAUCAGUCAAGUCUAUGUUCUCUAACAAAAUAUAAACAUUUUGACCAUCGGAAAAGUUGAACAUUGCAAAUGUUAGAGUAAAAAAAAUUAACAAUAAUCAUGCUGAAAUUUGAUGAAUAUUAAAUAUUAUUGAAUAAUAAAAAUUUAAGGUUUGUAUGCAAGGGAUUAUCUUUAGGCUAGGAAUACUUGAUAACCUUUACACUAAACUAUAAAAUAUAAUUUAUAACAACUUUAAUAGCAAUACCUUCAAUUUCAGUCUCUUCUAAUGUUGUGCCCUGAAGAUUUGUAAGUGAACCUUUCUCCAUGGCAAGUAGUAGUUUGGAUAUUUUGGCCAGCUGGGUUGUAGCCUCAGGAAGCCUGUAAUACUCUCUGAGGACACGAAUAUCGUGGCCCAAAAAGUCAGCAACUUGGUCCAACUCGUGGUUUUUGAGGUUUAGGACCUGUGACAAAGUUGCUACAUGUUUGUGUAAUUCUGUUGACUUGAGGAGUUCAGGGUUUUGCGCACCACACUCAUUUGCAUAAAUCCUCAGACAGUCUUGUCCUCGUUAAGGAGUCAAACAGUUGGGUCUUGCAAACAGGAAUAUGUUUUCUUCUGGGACUCCAUGCUCUUUUCUUCUGCUUAUGAGGCAUGUUAAGGCAUCAACCAUGUCUGACAAUAGCAACACUGCAACCUUUCGCCCCCUUUUACCACUAAUUUCCUCCCGACUGAAAUGUGCACAAAGUUUUUGUUCAAACUUUGUGACUCCAACAGCAACUUCAAUAUUUAGGGCAGCUGUGUCCCUUUCUAGGAAGCCUUUUAAUUGCAUCUUUGCAACCUCUCCUCCACGUCUUCGGUUGAACAGUAUUAUUUUAGCUAGAGUUGCUCUGCAAAGUUCCCCACAGACUUGUGCUGAUGGAAUCUUUAAGUUCUCAGAUGCUAAACCAGCAAUCUUUUCAAGAUGCUUGUGAAGACAUUGUACAUCCUCUGUGAAAGGGAGGGUUGAGGGAUGGCUUGUUAAAGUGCCCCUCAUUCAAGGUGGUCAAAGCUGUGUGUGAAACAAGUUCAGACCAUUUUGCAUUAUAUAGCCUUUUGAAUGUCUGUGUUGACUUUAUCCCCUCACUGUCUUCUGCCAUUAGAGCUCUGCCAUGUAUAAUGUCACAUCUUUUUCAAGGAGUGGCCCAACUUAAGAGCAAGGCUUGGAGUCUGGUAGGAGUUAUUUUCGUCAUCAAACCUAGACAUCAUCUUGACAGCUUGGAUAACCACCUAAAAAUUUACAGUUCUUACAGCAUCCUCAAGAGUCUGUACCGAAAAUUCUCUUUGCAGAAUCAGCAGAAGUGUUCCAAGUUCCCGGAGCUUUUGUCGAAUAUAGUCAUAUUUGGUGGGAUCCUGCCCAUAUUUAUUGAAAAAUGAUCGGGCCAGCUGAAUAAUGCAGAAGUCACUCCUCAAAGCAGCAGAGAUGUCAUCAUCUUUCAUCACAGUUAAUAGCUUCCAAACAUGUAUUAGACAUUGUUGCCAAAGUCAAGACCCUAGUUCUUCCUGGCUCUGCCCGAUCUUCCACUGGUUUUGAAAGACAAUUUCUAACGUGUCGCCACAGAUCUCUCCGGAGAAACAUUGCAUUGCAAUACAUACAAUGCACGUAGAAGCAAACCAAAGAAAAAAUAUAGUUCAAAGGACUGAGUCUUAACAAUCCGGUCCCACUUGCUAAAACAUCUUUAUUGUGUUCAAAGUUCCCUUUGUUCCGCAGUUUGUCCAGCAUUUUUUUUUUUACGUGGUUUGGAAUGGUUUGGCAGUGCCAAAACCCGAGCAACAUCCACAUUUGUUUUCUCAUGGAUUUUUAAGUGACGUGUAAAUUUUGACUGUGGUUUUCCACAAAUGUAGCAGUAACUCUUCUUGCUUACUGAUGAGGAUAUAUUUGAAGACUGCACACAUGGAUCUUCCCCAGUUCCUGUGCCAUCCUCAUCUGUGCAGACUGGAUCUUUUGGCAGUGAAUCUUGGCAGUUAAUGAGGCUUUCUUGGCAUUGUCUGCCAUUUUGAAUUUCUGCAGUAGAUUCUUUAGACACUUUAAUACUUUGAAAUUUUGAGAGUUGUUCUAAAGACACCAUGCUCCCUUCUGAAUGUCAUGCUAUGGAUGCAAUUGUGGAAGUUUUAAACAUUUGAUAAUAAACAAACAAAAUACAAAAGACUCUACAACUAAGAUACAAAACACAGUGGCAAAGACAAAAACAUAGUAAGACAACAUGAAACAAGGAAGCAGUGCAAACAGUGGCUAUAUAUAGGAGUGCUCCUUAACCAGUAAGUGAGUUCAGGUGCAGGUGCUCAUGUGACUGAUGAGUACAGUGCAGUGGCUGCUGGGAACUGAAGUCCAGAGUUUCUUCCCUGAUACCUGACACUGAACUGUCUGAAGAAGUAUCAGGUACAUAGUCCUCAUCUGGCAUGUCCUCACUGAAAAAUUGUUCUUCGGAAUUCUGAAAUGGAAAAACAAACACUCUCCCUUGUUUAAAAAAAAAUUUUUAAAAAUGCAUUUCAAAGGAAUAGUUUACUCAGAAAUAAAAAUUUCCUGAUUAUUUACUCAACCCCAGGCCAUCCAAUAUGUAUAUGACUUUCUUCAGCUGAAAAGAAAAUGAAGUUUUGGAGGAAAACGUUCCAGGAUUUUUCUCCAUUUAAUGCACGUGAAUGGGGCUCAGCUUAGACCAUUUUUGACGGACCAAAAUCCAUAUUUAGUAGCUUUAAAGUAAUCCACACAACUUAAUUAAUGACUUCAGCUGACAAAUAAGGGGCUUGGCGAAACAAUGUUAUUUUCAGGAAAAAAUAAUAAUAAAAUAAAAGAUAUACUUUUUAACUAUAAAUGCUUGCCUUGGUCCAGCAACCUCUCCGUGACAUAUGCGCGUUGGGAAGGUCACACCCAAGAGGCAAGAACCGCCCCAUUGUUUACAGUGUGGAGAAGGAAUACUGUCCAGAAGUUUAAUGUUCAUCACUGUAUAUUAGUAUUUGUGUCAGGUUAUUGUUAAAAAAGGUCUAUUCAGGUGUGCAUCCUGGAUGCAUCACGUGUGACCUUCCCAACGUGCAUACGUCAUGCGAGAAGUCGUGAACUAAACAGUCUUCUGAAUGUGCAUCACAGAGCUGGCCAAAGGCGAUAAUUUGUAGUUAAAGUCUGUAUGUAUAUAAAAAAAAAAAUUCUGAAAAUGAGUUAUGGUUUUGCGAGAGAAGAUCCUUAUUUGUGGGCCGGAGUCAUUCGGAUUACUUUGACGCUGCAUAAAUAUGGAUUUGGGAGUGUCAAAAAUGGUCUACGAUGAUCCCCGUUUACUUGCAUUAGAUGGAGAAAAAGUCAUAAAAGGAAGUGAUGGAUGGAUAGAAUGUGAGAAUAAUUGAAAAGAGGAAAAAAGAAAGGAGAGAUAGUUGUAAAGAAAGUGAUACAGGUCAAUGGGUGCAAAGUGAAUUACUGAAAACAUGACUGAGGGACAGACGGAUAGAAGACUGCUAAGAGAAAAUACAGAUUAGAAAAUGUGUUACAGUAGUAGUGCUAGAUGGAUAGACAGAAAAUAAAGGAGCGAAAUAAAAGAAAAAUAUAAUUACCAUUUGUAAAAAGAUAGAUGAGAAUAUUUCUGAUUAAAGCAUAGAUGGAGAAAUAGAUGAGUGUUACUAGAAAUUCAGUGAUUCAGAUACAUCGAGGUUAAAAAAAAAAAAGUGGUCCAGACAGACAGAAAAAAGAAAGAAAAAUGCUUUCAAAAGUGAUAGAUGACAGAACAAUAGAUAAUCAGUGUGAAAGAAAGUGUGACUAUAAGAUGGAAGAGAAAGGAGAUAAAAGAAAGAAAAGGGAGGGAACUAAAGAGAGGUAUAUGGAGAGAGAGAGGGAUAGAAAAAUAGACAGGUAGAUAAGAAUGAAUAACUGCUAAAAAGGUGAAGUAGGAGUGUAUCCAACAAAUACACUAGAGAAUGAGAAAUAUGAAUAGUGUGACGUAGGUAGACAGAGUUUGAUAAUAGAACGAAAGAAAAAGGAAAAAAUAGAAAGAGGGAGUAGGGAAGCAAGAAAGAAAAGAGAGAGAAGUAAGACAGAUUAAUAAAGAGAUGGAGAGAUGGAUGGACCGAAGAAUACAAAGGAUACGUUUAACUCAGAAGAGUAUGUCAACUUUUUCAAGCGAAAUUAAUGAUGCAUUUAGAAUGGGGGGAAAAAAGCAUGUAGGCUUUGUCAGUUACACAAUAAUUUAGG